rnacentral:rRNA from 1 species
GAUGAACGCUGGCGGCGUGCUUAACACAUGCAAGUCGAACGAAGCAAUUUUGAAACUUCGGUUUCAAAAUUGACUUAGUGGCGGACGGGUGAGUAACGCGUAGGUAACCUGCCUUAUACAGGGGGAUAACAGCUGGAAACGGCUGCUAAUACCGCAUAACACAGUGAAGUCGCAUGACUUUAUGCCAAAG